UAUAAGUGUUUUAUGGCACUUUUUAAAUCCAUAUCCACCUUGUGUGCAAUGUCAGUCGAUCUUCUUCAUGGAGAUCGACCAAACAUCAACCUUUAUUUUUUAACUCUUUGUCUGAAAAAUAUUAUGAAUAAACAAUUCAAAAUA
rnacentral:misc_RNA from 1 species